UACGUAGGGUGCAAGCGUUAAUCGGAAUUACUGGGCGUAAAGCGUGCGCAGGCGGCUAUGCAAGACAGAUGUGAAAUCCCCGGGCUCAACCUGGGAACUGCAUUUGUGACUGCAUGGCUAGAGUACGGUAGAGGGGGAUGGAAUUCCGCGGGUAGCAGUGAAAUGCGUAGAUAUGCGGAGGAACACCGAUGGCGAAGGCAAUCCCCUGGACCUGUACUGACGCUCAUGCACGAAAGCGUGGGGAGCAAACAGG
rnacentral:rRNA from 1 species